GUAAUUACAUGAGAAGCAAAAUUUUUAUUUGUCCUUAAAUCAAUUUUUAUGGACUUGCUAAAUGUGAUAGCAGUUUAGAUCACACAUAGACUUUUGAGACAUAUGUAAAUCACAUGAUAAUGGCUAUAUAAAACUUGUUUUUCAACUGAUCUCUGGAGAGCCUGGUUUUAUCCCUUUCCCCCUUCAAACCUAGUUUAAAGCCUUCUCAAUCAACACAUGAGCUAGAAUACUUUUGUCCUUCCUAGACAGAUGAAGCUAUCCAACUCUAGCAUGCCUGACGCUGUAAAAAUUGCCCCACAAUCAAAGAAACCAAAAUUCCACUGAUGGCACUAGCCCUUAAGUCACCUGUGGAUAACCUGGUUUUUCCUGUUCCUUUCAUCACUUAUCCCUGCUAGCAAAGGAGCUGAGCUGAGCAGCACCUGCACUUCUGUGCCGUCAGCCCAAUCAACACAGAGCCUUGAAGUACUUGUUAAUUAUCCUGGUACGCUUCUUGUCAAUCUCAUCACUGCCAACCUGGACAACCAGCAGUGGGUAAUAGUCAGAGGGAUGAAUUAGUUCAGUGAGUAUCCUGGUAAGCUCCAGGAGAGUAAGCAGUGCUUGAUCAGCUCCUUUUAAUCACCUCCAAAUGACCCUCUGACCACCUGCUCACCUGAAUGGCUGGCAAAAAGAACCAGACAUGUUCUCAGAGAUGCAAAGUUCAGUACAAAAUUUAAAAACAUCUUUCAAAUAGGAAAUCUGUGUGCAUGGAACAAUGAAAGAAAUCGAACUAGUUUCCCAGGGACUUGUGCUGUUUCUACCUAUGACACAUCUGAUUUGUGGCAUCUUCAGUUUACCACUUUGCUUCUAGCCUACUCUGUGUAUAUUUCUAGUUCAUUCUAUGCUCUUUUCCCACCUGUCACCGUGGCAGGAGUGAACAGAACUUGCCAGGUUUCAAGUGAACCCAAGUCAUCCUGGAAUUCAGAAAGAAUAAAUAACUCCUGAGCUCCUGAAGAAGCUUUUCUUUCAAUAUGAUAUGUCUUUUUCUUUCUACUCACCUGUGAAUUUUAAAAACUCAGAAGCGUAUAUUUGUUUUGAGCUCUGCAGUUCUGGGUCAAAUUUAGUUUAAAUUGACCAGCAGAUAAAGGGCUGUUAGAGAAAAGGGAAUGACAGAUGGGUAAGUGAUUGCACACACUCUUCUUGGUGAAAUUUGGCUAAAAAGGAGAAGAAAAGGUAGAAUCCCAUAUAUUUUGUGGACAUUCAAAAUGGUAUCUUCAGCACUCAAACUACAUACUUUGUAAAAUAUCUUUUUAAAUUAUCUUUGAAUAAGAAAUACCCUUCUCUAAGCUAUAAAAGGCAGUCCCAGGGGACAGACUUCAGAUUUAUGAAUUUCUGAGAUGAAUUUGUCUGAGAAAUUCAGGCAUGGUUUGUCUGUAAUUGCGCUUGAUAGUAGGGUCCUUUUAAAUCUUUCCAAAAUAAAAGGAGACAACAAGG
rnacentral:lncRNA from 1 species